CAGUCGAACGAAGCAUGCCGGAGGAAGUUUUCGGAUGGAAUCCGGGAUGACUGAGUGGCGGACGGGUGAGUAACGCGUGGGUAACCUGCCCUGUACAGGGGGACAACAGUUAGAAAUGACUGCUAAUACCGCAUAAGCGCACAGGAUCGCAUGGUCCGGUGUGAAAAACUCCGGUGGUACAGGAUGGACCCGCGUCUGAUUAGGUAGUUGGCGGGGUAACGGCCCACCAAGCCGACGAUCAGUAGCCGACCUGAGAGGGUGACCGGCCACAUUGGGACUGAGACACGGCCCAAACUCCUACGGGAGGCAGCAGUGGGGAAUAUUGCACAAUGGGGGGAACCCUGAUGCAGCGACGCCGCGUGAGUGAAGAAGUAUUUCGGUAUGUAAAGCUCUAUCAGCAGGGAAGAAAAUGACGGUACCUGACUAAGAAGCCCCGGCUAACUACGUGCCAGCAGCCGCGGUAAUACGUAGGGGGCAAGCGUUAUCCGGAUUUACUGGGUGUAAAGGGAGCGUAGACGGCAGCACAAGUCUGGAGUGAAAUCCCGGGGCUUAACCCCGGAACUGCUUUGGAAACUGUGCGGCUGGAGUGCAGGAGGGGUAAGCGGAAUUCCUAGUGUAGCGGUGAAAUGCGUAGAUAUUAGGAGGAACACCGGUGGCGAAGGCGGCUUACUGGACUGUAACUGACGUUGAGGCUCGAAAGCGUGNGGAGCAAACAGGAUUAGAUACCCUGNUAGUCCACGCCGUAAACGAUGAUUA
rnacentral:rRNA from 1 species